GACGAACGCUGGCGGCGUGCCUAAUACAUGCAAGUAGAACGCACAGUUUAUACCGUAGCUUGCUACACCAUAGACUGUGAGUUGCGAACGGGUGAGUAACGCGUAGGUAACCUGCCUGGUAGCGGGGGAUAACUAUUGGAAACGAUAGCUAAUACCGCAUAAUAUUAAUUAUUGCAUGAUAAUUAAUUGAAAGGUGCAAUUGCACCACUACCAGAUGGACCUGCGUUGUACUAGCUAGUAGGUGAGGUAACGGCUCACCUAGGCGACGAUACAUAGCCGACCUGAGAGGGUGAUCGGCCACACUGGGACUGAGACACGGCCCAGACUCCUACGGGAGGCAGCAGUAGGGAAUCUUCGGCAAUGGGCGAAAGUCUGACCGAGCAACGCCGCGUGAGUGAAGAAGGGUUUCGGAUCGUAAAGCUCUGUUGUAAGAGAAGAACGGGUGUGAGAGUGGAAAGUUCACACUGUGACGGUAUCUUACCAGAAAGGGACGGCUAACUACGUG
rnacentral:rRNA from 1 species